AGUGUCAUGAUGAUUGGCUAAAUGUUCAACUGCUCUGAAGUGUGAGUGACAGCUGCCCCUCUGAACAACA
rnacentral:snoRNA from 1 species